rnacentral:misc_RNA from 1 species
GAUGAAGAACGCAGCGAAAUGCGAUACGUAAUGUGAAUUGCAAAUUCAGUGAAUCAUCGAGUCUUUGAACGCACAUUGCGCCCCCUGGUAUUCCGGGGGGCAUGCCUGUCCGAGCGUCAUUACUGCCCUCAAGCCCGGCUUGUGUGUUGGGCCCCGUCCUCCGAUCCCGGGGGACGGGCCCGAAAGGCAGCGGCGGCACCGCGUCCGGUCCUCGAGCGUAUGGGGCUUUGUCACCCGCUCUGUAGGCCCGGCCGGCGCUUGCCGAUCAACCCCAAUUUUUAUAGGUUGACCUCGGAUCAGGUAGGGAUACCCGCUGAACUUAAGCAUAUCAAUAAGCGGAGGA